rnacentral:rRNA from 1 species
UACGUAGGGUGCAAGCGUUGUCCGGAAUUAUUGGGCGUAAAGAGCUCGUAGGCGGCUUGUUGCGUCGACCGUGAAAACCCGGGGCUCAACUUCGGGCUUGCGGUCGAUACGGGCGGGCUAGAGUUCGGUAGGGGAGACUGGAAUUCCUGGUGUAGCGGUGAAAUGCGCAGAUAUCAGGAGGAACACCGAUGGCGAAGGCAGGUCUCUGGGCCACUACUGACGCUGAGAAGCGAAAGCAUGGGGAGCGAACAGG